GGGGCGUGGCUGGGAACUGGAACCUCCUGAAGACCAGUGGAGGCCAUAAGCAGAAGCCCUCGGCUCCUUCCCUUCCCCGAUGCUGGGGGCCAAGGGUCUUUCUCUGACCCUGUACCCCCAUCACGUUACCAGUGGAGGGUGUCCAGGUUCUUGGCAUUUUGAACAAAGAAUUGGACAAAACACACAAACAAAGCAAGGAAAGAAUGAAGCAACAAAAGCAGAAAUUUAUUGAAAAUGAAAGCACUCCUUACAGGGUGGGAGCGGGCUGAGCAAGCAGCUCAAGGGCCCCGGUUACAGAAUUUUCUGGUGUUUCAAUAUCCUCUAGCGGUUUACCAUUGGUUACUUGGUGUAUGCCCUACGUAAACGAAGAGGAUGAAGUCAAAGUCAUUUUCUCGGCUGAGCAUACUGUCACGCCUGUAAUCCCAGUACUUUGGGAGGCUGGGGUGGGUGGAUCACCUGAGGUCGGGAGUUCAAGACCAGCCUGAUGAACACGGAGAAACCCCGUCUCUACUAAAAAUACAAAAUUAGCUGGGUGUGGUGGCGGGUGCCUGUAAUCCCAGAUAGUCAGGAGGCUGAGGCAGGAAAAUCGCUUAAACCCGGGAGGCAGAGGCUGCAGAGAACCAAGGAGUGCACCACUGCACUCCAGCCUGGGCAACAAGAGCAAAACUCCAUCUCAAAAAACAAACAAACAAACAAACAAACAAAACGAAGUCAUGUACUCGGUAUGAGCCUUACGUAAACGGAGAGGAUGGAGUGAAGGUACAAAGCCACUCACAUUCCCGUCAUCGUUGGUGUUUCCAGUUGAUUUGGUUCUAGGACGCCCUUGGGCUCCCUGCGUCCAGGCCCUCUUCUCCUGCCUCACUCUCACUCCAGAGGACUGGCGGUGCUGGCCUCCCUGGCAGGACUCCCGCCCCUGACCAGAGGGGUCUGGGCGUGCUCUGAGGCUACCUGCUGCUCCUUGCCCAGUGUCCCUGGGUGCUCUGUGGGGACACAGAGAGGUCACUUGGGAGGUUCCUGCCUCUGCCAGACCGCGGCGCCUUCCUGGCGUCAUUGCCCCCUGCACGCUUAUACAACCAGUGAUAAGGCGGUAUCCAAUGCCGUAAUCCUCCCCAGGGCCAGCCCAGCCCUGUCCGGUCCCGUCCGGUCCCUGGCCUGCUUGCUGGGAGCCCAGCUGGGGGCUGCAUCGGGGGUGGUGGGGGUCUGGAGUGAGGGGUGCCCAGGCCUCUCUCACAGUGUGGGGGCACAAGCUCUGCCCUGGACACUCUGCCAGUGUGACCCUACCCCCCAUGUUGGGGGUGAGAGAAGGGGGCUUUCUGGGUGGCCAGAUCCCAGGAGAGGGGGCCUAGCCAGACCAACCCCAGCGCAGCUGUCUGCAGCUGCACCCCAAAGGCCCUGGCCCAGCCCAGCCAGACAGAGUGUGGACAGAGGGGCUUGGGUGCGAGUCCAAGCAAGGCAGGACAAGUCUCUGCUGUGGCUUGGCAGUGGCCCCGUGAUUGGUGACAUGUCUGGCAGGCCUAGGGGACAAAUCCUCAGCCCGGGUGCAUCAGGCCAGAGCCUGGCUGUCUGGAGCCCUCCAGGAAAUGGCCCCCCAGGCUGGGGGACAUCCGAGUGAUUGUGCCAAACAAUGGACAAGGGGGCCGGAGUCUCAGAGCCGAAGUACCUUCCGCUUCCAUCUGCUCCGCCCAGGAGCAGGUGCACCCAGGUGGUGGCCUGGGCUAUAAAGCUGGCCCCCUGGGGCUUGGGGACUCAGCACCAGGGGCUGGAGGGCAGGGGAGGGGAUGAUGUCGUUCCUGCUCGGCGCAAUCCUGGCCCUGCUCUGGGCGCCCACGGCUCAGGCUGAGGUUCUGCUGCAGCCUGACUUCAAUGCUGAAAAGGUACCAGGGGCCUCUGCUGUCCUGUGGUGGGUGGGAGCUGGGCCCCUGCCAGAGACAACGUGAUAAUUGUGACAACUGCCUUUCCUGGGGCGCUUGCUCUGUGCCCGGCCAGGCACGUGCUAUAGACCCACUCUGCACUUAAUCCUAAACCGACCUGUGAAUGGAUCAUUACUGCACCCACUUCACAGCUGGGAACUGAGGCUCACAGCUGCACUGUGACCUGCCCGAGAUGAGUUCCUGUCCACCUGGGCUCAGCUCACACCCAAGAGAUGGCCACUCCGAGACCCCUUGCUGUGUGACUUCUGAGUUGUCCCCUGGGUCCCUGGGCAAGGAGGGCCCUGCUGCUGGCUGUCCUGGCCUGCGGGUGACUAAGCCUCCGGCAGUUCUCAGGCCUCUGGUACGUGGUCUCCAUGGCAUCUGACUGCAGGGUCUUCCUGGGCAAGAAGGACCACCUGUCCAUGUCCACCAGGGCCAUCAGGCCCACAGAGGAGGGCGGCCUCCACGUCCACAUGGAGUUCCCGGAGGCGGACGGCUGUAACCAGGCGGAUGCCGAGUACCUGAAGGUGGGCUCCGAGGGACACUUCAGAGUCCCGGCCUUGGGCUACCUGGACGUGCGCAUCGUGGACACAGACUACAGCUCCUUCGCCGUCCUUUACAUCUACAAGGAGCUGGAGGGGGCCCUCAGCACCAUGGUGCAGCUCUACAGCCGGACCCAGGAUGUGAGUCCCCAGGCUCUGAAGGCCUUCCAGGACUUCUACCCGACCCUGGGGCUCCCCGAGGACAUGAUGGUCAUGCUGCCCCAGUCAGAUGCAUGCAACCCUGAGAGCAAGGAGGCGCCCUGACACCUCCGGAGCCCCGCCCCCGCCCUUCCCAGGUGGAGCCAAAGCAGCAGGCGCCUUUGCCCCUGGAGUCGAGACCCACAGCCCUCGGGCACCACCUGGAGUCUCUCCAUCCUCCACCCCCGCCUGUGGGAUGCCUUGUGGUUCGUCUCUUUCUAUUCAAUAAACAGAUGCUGCAGCCU
rnacentral:sRNA from 1 species